rnacentral:RNase_MRP_RNA from 1 species
AUGAAUAACAAAGGUUUUCCUAGGCUACGUAUGCGGGACCAGUUCCUUGUUCUUCCGCCUAGGGGAAAGUCCCCGGACCUCGGGCAGAGAGUGCCGCGUGCAGGGGCACGUAGACAUCCCUCCGCUUCCCACUGUAAAGUCCGCCAAGAAGCGAAUCCCGCUGAGCCGCUUGGGGGGUGGGUGGGGGGAGUGUCUACCGUGAGCUCCACUCGUUACGCAGGCAGUGCGUCUUCGCGCACCAACCACAUGGGGCUCAUUCUCA